CUGGCUCAGGACGAACGCUGGCGGCGUGCCUAAUACAUGCAAGUCGAACGGUCUUUCUAUGGAAGCUUGCUUCCACUGAGAAGAUAGUGGCGAACGGGUGAAUAACACGUGGGUAACCUGCCCAUAAGAGGGGGAUAACAUCCGGAAACGGGUGCUAAUACCGCAUAGUUUUCUUGAUCGCAUGAUCGGGAAAGGAAAGACGGCCUUUGUGCUGUCGCUUAUGGAUGGACCCGCGGCGUAUUAGUUAGUUGGUGAGGUAACGGCUCACCAAGACGAUGAUACGUAGCCGACCUGAGAGGGUGAUCGGCCACAUUGGGACUGAGACACGGCCCAAACUCCUACGGGAGGCAGCAGUAGGGAAUCUUCCGCAAUGGACGAAAGUCUGACGGAGCAACGCCGCGUGAGUGAAGAAAGGUUUUCGGAUCGUAAAACUCUGUUGUCAGAGAAGAACAAGUUGGAGAGUAACUGCUCCAGCCUUGACGGUAUCUGACCAGAAAGCCACGGCUAACUACGUGCCAGCCGCUGC
rnacentral:rRNA from 1 species